rnacentral:rRNA from 1 species
CCUACGGGAGGCUGCAGUGGGGAAUAUUGGACAAUGGGGGGAACCCUGAUCCAGCCAUGCCGCGUGUGUGAAGAAGGCCCUCGGGUUGUAAAGCACUUUCAGUGAGGAAGAACGCCUGGUGGUUAAUACCCAUCAGGAAAGACAUCACUCACAGAAGAAGCACCGGCUAACUCCGUGCCAGCAGCCGCGGUAAUACGGAGGGUGCGAGCGUUAAUCGGAAUUACUGGGCGUAAAGCGCGCGUAGGUGGCUUGAUAAGCCGGUUGCGAGAGCCCCGGGCUCAACCUGGGAACGGCAUCCGGAACUGUCAAGCUAGAGUGCAGGAGAGGAAGGUAGAAUUCCCGGUGUAGCGGUGAAAUGCGUAGAGAUCGGGAGGAAUACCAGUGGCGAAGGCGGCCUUCUGGACUGACACUGACACUGAGGUGCGAAAGCGUGGGUAGCAAACAGGAUUAGAUACCCGGGUAGUC